rnacentral:rRNA from 1 species
UACGUAGGGAGCAAGCGUUGUUCGGAUUUACUGGGCGUAAAGGGCGCGUAGGCGGCCAGCACAAGUCAGUUGUGAAAUCUCCGAGCUUAACUCGGAAAGGUCAACUGAUACUGUGCGGCUAGAGUGCGGAAGGGGCAACUGGAAUUCUUGGUGUAGCGGUGAAAUGCGUAGAUAUCAAGAGGAACACCUGCGGCGAAGGCGGGUUGCUGGACGAUGACUGACGCUGAGACGCGAAAGCGUGGGGAGCAAACAGG